rnacentral:rRNA from 1 species
AUCACCCUACGGGACGCAGCAGUGGGGAAUAUUGCACAAUGGGCGCAAGCCUGAUGCAGCGACGCCGCGUGCAGGAUGGAGGCCUUCGGGUUGUAAACCGCUUUUGUUCAAGGGCAAGGCACGGUCUUUGGCCGUGUUGAGUGGAUUGUUCGAAUAAGCACCGGCUAACUACGUGCCAGCAGCCGCGGUAAUACGUAGGGUGCAAGCGUUAUCCGGAUUUAUUGGGCGUAACGGGCUCGUAGGCGGUUCGUCGCGUCCGGCGUGAAAGUCCAUCGCUUAACGGUGGAUCCGCGCCG